rnacentral:ncRNA from 10 species
AUCGUUCAUCUCUUAGGAGACGGAAGUAGGGUAAAACCGAAGGAACGCCGC